rnacentral:rRNA from 1 species
CCGGGAAUUUUGGGCAAUGGGGGAAACCCUGACCCAGCAACGCCGCGUGAAGGAUGAAGUAUUUCGGUAUGUAAACUUCGAAAGAAUAGGAAGAAUAAAUGACGGUACUAUUUAUAAGGUCCGGCUAACUACGUGCCAGCAGCCGCGGUAAUACGUAGGGACCAAGCGUUGUUCGGAUUUACUGGGCGUAAAGGGCGCGUAGGCGGCAUGACAAGUCACUUGUGAAAUCUCUGGGCUUAACCCAGAACGGCCAAGUGAUACUGUCGCGCUAGAGUGCAGAAGGGGCAAUCGGAAUUCUUGGUGUAGCGGUGAAAUGCGUAGAUAUCAAGAGGAACACCUGAGGUGAAGACGGGUUGCUGGGCUGACACUGACGCUGAGGCGCGAAAGCCAGGGGAGCAAACGGGAUUAGAUACCCUUGUAGUCCCUGAGCGGGCUGGCAAGGCGCAU